rnacentral:rRNA from 1 species
UACAGAGGUCCCAAGCGUUGUUCGGAUUCACUGGGCGUAAAGGGUGCGUAGGUGGUGAGGUAAGUCGGAUGUGAAAGCUCGGAGCUCAACUCCGAAAUGGCAUUGGAAACUACCUUGCUCGAGGGUUGGAGGGGGGACUGGAAUACUUGGUGUAGCAGUGUAAUGCGUAGAUAUCAAGUGGAACACCAGUGGCGAAGGCGAGUCCCUGGACAACUCCUGACACUGAGGCACGAAAGCUAGGGGAGCAAACAGG